GCCGAAGUGGCGGAACUGGCAGACGCGCGGCGUUCAGGGCGCCGUGCUCGUACGAGCGUGUGGGUUCGAAUCCCACCUUCGGCACCA
rnacentral:tRNA from 2 species